AAACGGGCCGCCAGGGACUGGCAGGGGGCGGGGCGCAGGGCCCGGGGCGCAGGGAGCGACCUACGCGGGGCGGGGACCGGGCGGUGAGCGGGGAGGGUGCGGGGACCCAGGGACAAACCCGGCGCAGAUGGGGUGCGGACCGGGCAAUCGGUGACUGGCCGCUGCCCCGGGUCCCAGCAGCCAGGGGUGGUUCUCUCCCCGGCCCCGGUCCCCAGCGCGCCCCGGCCCGCACCCCCAGAGGGAGCUGCCUGCUGCCGCUGCGCGAGGCGGCACGUGGGGUCCGGGCUCCGAAACCCGGGUACGGCCGAGGACACUCAACGUGUUAGCCCGCAUUUAUUCGGGAAGGUGUCCUCCGCGGCCCCUAGGGGGAUUCGCUCUCAGGCCCCGAGUCCAGUGGGGGCAGCGGGAAGGCGGGCGAUUUGAACAAAGACGUUUAUCUCCAGGGGACGGCGGAUGGCGGAGGAGGAAGCUGGGUGCUUCUGCCCAGCCUCGUGGGCGCAGAGGCCGCGCCCUGACGGCGUAUACACCUCGCCGCCCCCGCGGGCUCGGGGCCCAGACGGUCUCAGGGCUCCUUCCACCAGGAGAAAUGAUAGAAAUGACAGACUUGCUGCGGUUGUCCCCAUCUCAUCCCCGAGAGAUGCCCUUAUGGUCUCAUGGACACCGUCCAGCCGUUCCGGGCAGUCACUGCACGAUGCUUGAUUGACAGUCCCGCCCACAGCUGGAAGCAAAGGCUCCGGGUCCACUCACACGCCACGCUGGUGUAUUUCUGUUUUUGUUUUAAAUUGACACAGGGUUUCCCAAAACCACAGGGGAUUCCCUCAAGCCCGGAGCCUCGCCAUGGGGUGUCUGUUCUGCUGUGGGCAGGCGGGUCCUGGCGUGGGGACUGUGGGCUUGUGCAGGGAGAGAGAGGUGGGAGACACAGGGGAGGGGCCACCAUGGCCAGGUGACAUGGGAAGGUCAGGACAUCAACCUCUGCCCAGGCUGUCCCUUCUCCCUGUGUCCAGAGAGGCACCACCAAGCUUUCUGCAAGCUUCAGAAGUACCUUUCACCAGGAAAGCAGGAAGUUUGCAAAAGCAGAGCAGGCUGAAAAGCAUAGUGUUUCCGGAAAGUGUAUCUAGUUGAUUCCAGGUCACGCACUUCAGCCCUCAGGCCCUGAGCACACCGUCCACCGGCAUCUGAGAUGCAGCUGGGGCUGCUCAGGGCCCAGCCGUGAGGAUGAGUGGACACAGCCCAUCGUGGCUGUACACCCUGGCCUCUGCUGGGCUCUCACUGUCCCCAGGACUCCUGCACUCCCGUCACUUCACUCUGUUGCCCUGGUCUGUGUUCCCCGAGCCACCUGUGACUGUAUGAGCAACAGUCUGUAUUUGCUGGUUUCUGUGCUUUCUGGCUACACAGCUGGUCCCCCACCUGGCACCCAGGCCACGCACAUGUGUGUUCGACCUUCUGGUGUUUGCACCUGCAGCCGUGGGGUGCGGGCUGCCUCUGGUGGAGGCUCCAUAACACCUGCUGGAUGACAGACCUGAGGAGCCAGCUGCCUUCCGUGGAUCUCAACCCUCCCCGCUGGGCCUCACCGUGGAGGGCGGCUCUGCCGGGCUUCAGCCUCUGACCAGCCCGACCCUGGGCACUGCGGCUGGGCAGCCGACGGAGAGGUUUUCACGGGGGGAUUUAUCCCGGCAGAAUUUGGAAUCAGCAAGUGAACAAUGAGACGCCCAUGAAAUGGAAUAUUAUACUCCCGUGAAGAAAUCUGAUGAGAUAAAUGUUCACGUGGAAAAGCUGUCCAACACCACGCCGGCCCUGUGGUGCUGAGAUACGAAACAGGCAUGUGAGGAAGGUGACGAGCCCGACUGUUGGGAGUGGUUACCUCUAAGAGAUGGAG
rnacentral:lncRNA from 1 species